GAUGAACGCUGGCGGCGUGCCUAAUACAUGCAAGUCGAGCGAACAGACGAGGAGCUUGCUCCUCUGACGUUAGCGGCGGACGGGUGAGUAACACGUGGAUAACCUACCUAUAAGACUGGGAUAACUUCGGGAAACCGGAGCUAAUACCGGAUAAUAUAUUGAACCGCAUGGUUCAAUAGUGAAAGACGGUUUUGCUGUCACUUAUAUAUGGAUCCGCGCCGCAUUAGCUAGUUGUUAAGGUAACGGCUUACCAAGGCAACGAUGCGUAGCCGACCUGAGAGGGUGAUCGGCCACACUGGAACUGAGACACGGUCCAGACUCCUACGGGAGGCAGCAGUAGGGAAUCUUCCGCAAUGGGCGAAAGCCUGACGGAGCAACGCCGCGUGAGUGAUGAAGGUCUUCGGAUCGUAAAACUCUGUUAUUAGGGAAGAACAAAUGUGUAAGUAACUAUGCACGUCUUGACGGUACCUAAUCAGAAAGCCACGGCUAACUACGUG
rnacentral:rRNA from 1 species